rnacentral:rRNA from 1 species
GCUGGCGGCAGGCCUAACACAUGCAAGUCGAGCGCGCCUUCGGGCGAGCGGCGGACGGGUUAGUAACGCGUGGGAACGUGCCCAGAUCUACGGAAUAGCCACUGGAAACGGUGAGUAAUACCGUAUACGCCCUUCGGGGGAAAGAUUUAUCGGAUUUGGAUCGGCCCGCGUUAGAUUAGGUAGUUGGUGGGGUAACGGCCUACCAAGCCUACGAUCUAUAGCUGGUUUUAGAGGAUGAUCAGCAACACUGGGACUGAGACACGGCCCAGACUCCUACGGGAGGCAGCAGUGGGGAAUCUUGGACAAUGGGGGCAACCCUGAUCCAGCCAUGCCGCGUGAGUGAAGAAGGCCCUAGGGUCGUAAAACUCUUUCGCCUGUGAUGAUAAUGACAGUAGCAGGUAAAGAAACCCCGGCUAACUCCGUGCCAGCAGCCGCGGUAAUACGGAGGGGGUUAGCGUUGUUCGGAAUUACUGGGCGUAAAGCGCACGUAGGCGGAUUAGAAAGUUAGAGGUGAAAUCCCGGGGCUCAACCCCGGAACUGCCUUUAAAACUACUA